rnacentral:lncRNA from 1 species
AUGCCCAUGUUCUAAUCUUCAGAACCCAUGCAUGUCACCUUCUAUGACAAAAGGAACUUCACAGAUGGGAUGGAGUGAAGGGUCUGGAGAUGGGGAGAUGAUCCUGGAUGAUCCAGGGAACCCCACAGGUUACCACAAGGUCCUUAGGAGAAGAAGGCAGGAGGGAGAAAAUCACAGAAGGAGCGGCAAGGACAAAGCGGGGUCAGGGUGAGACAACCCAUGAGGCGGUACUGUGAUCGCCCCACUUUACAGAUGAGAGGACAGACACACAGAGCCACGGAAACCAGCCCCGGGUCACACAGCUGGGAAGCGGCCGUGACUUUCCUACUCAGGCCCGCGGCACACGGAGCCCCAGAGAAAGGCUCAGGAGAGGGGAGAUGCGUGGGACUGAUGGUCUUGGAAGCACAGCCGGGGUGACGGAAGAGUGACAGCAUCUUCAUGCAGCCAGAAGCCGCUGACUCUACGAAGAAUGGAAGACAGCCUCGAGUGCUUUCCAGGUACUGGCACAUUGCCAAGGCCUCUCACGUCCCCCUUCCUGCCUGAAAAUCCACUAUUCAUGUGCUACUUCUGCCGGAGGUUUAGAUAAGAGGAGGGAGUACGCAGUUGCCUGAAGGUAAGGGGCACCAUCCUGGGACCAUCCACAUACUCCUCAGUGAGCAAUAGUGCACCCUAGGUUUGAACUGAGGAGACAGGGAGACUUGAGGCAGAUCAGGGCUUCUGGACCGUGGUUCAAUUUGCUGCCCAGGUCCAUCCGGGGGCAGCAUCCCUGGCACCAUUUGCUUUUACCUAAUAAUCUAACACACGCACUAAAGAAAGGAGGAAAGGCACCCCUGCUUCC